rnacentral:misc_RNA from 1 species
GCAAACUUGGUCAUUUAGAGGAAGUAAAAGUCGUAACAAGGUUUCCGUAGGUGAACCUGCGGAAGGAUCAUUAACGAGUUGGAACGUGGAGGUUGAUGCUGGUGCAUAUCUUUUUUGUAUGUACAUGUGCUCGCCUCUGCCCUCUUCAUCCACUCAACCCCUGUGCACUUUAUCAGAGUUAGUAGUAGUUGUCAUUGUGGUGACCAUUUGUUAUAUUCAUUGUUAAUGAUAAUAACCUUGGUUCUACUACUGCUGCUAUGAACACUUUGACUUUAUUCAUACAAACACUUUGCUUGUCCUUGUGAAUGUGUAAUGCUCCUGGUGAGCGAAAUACAAAUAUACAACUUUCAACAACGGAUCUCUUGGCUCUCGCAUCGAUGAAGAACGCAGC